GGCCCGGGCAGGGCAGGGCCCGUUACAAUGGGGCAGCCCGAGGCGGCCCGGGUCCCCGCCAGCAAGCCAGCCUCUCUUUUCGCCGGCGCGCUGCAUCUCACGGCAGUGUCUGUCCGUUUGUCCGUCUGUCUCUCGCGUUUUCGGAUGGGAGGCGAAGGGGGAGAAGAGGGGAGGGAGCCUCUGUUAGCUGGCGCCAGGUGCAGCGCGGGCGCCGCGGCCAGUCUCGUCUAUUCUUUUUAGCAAAUCUUUUCGCCUGCCCAGCCCGGCUGUGCCCGGCUGUGCCCGGCUGUGCCCGGCCGCUGGCGCGCGCCUAUGGCUAUGCCGCCGCCGCUGGUGGUGCUGCUGCUGCUCCCGUUCGCGGCCGCUAUGAUUGAAGGUUAGGGACGUAAGGGACGUCCGCCGCGUAACGGAACGCUAUAACUCGUAACGUUUGUACACUGCAAAGGCGAGCACGCGCGCUGCGGGCCUCAACUACUAGUCUUCUGCAUGUGCAGUGGGUGUCGAACUAGAGUGAGGUAGAAAAUAAGUAGUAGAGAUUGUUUUCCCGUCUUUUAUAGUUGUUUUUAGCCACGCCCAGAGACCCAUAAGCCAAGAGAGACUCCUGCAGUGCAUAUUUGUUGUCGCCACUAAGUUUUGUCCAUGUUUUAUUUUGGGUUCCGAUGGUGUUGCCUUGAGAGCCGUGGGCCGACGUUUCGCGCGAGACACCUCUUCUUUGCGCGUUCUUUCUCUUCUCCCUCUACGUGACGGCGACGGCGAGGGUGGCUGUCGGCUCUCUGGUGACGCUACGGAGGCGGUAAAAUCGGAUAACAUAAUACGUCCGCCGGAUGAUAUGACGACGCGCUCGCUCACUCACAUGUUGCGAUCAGAUACUCCGCUCGUUCUGCUAUUUGCACUAAAAAGCCCGACGGCAGCAACACGUACGGUAACAAGUUUCGUUGUGGUGCUCCGCGGCGGUGGCACUGCGCUGCGGGGCGCUGCUUGGCGACAUGCAACACGUUCCCAUGGCCUGCUGCAAUUACCCGGAAACAGGUGUUGGCCGAUGUCCAGGAGGAGGUGCGUCCCCGCACCCCGCCGGGCGCCGCCGCGCCGCAGCGACAGGCGCCACGCCGCAGGAAACGUGUUUGCCACGCAUGCAUCCCGUUCGCCGCUCGGAAGGCAGAGGAAAUGAUCGGCCGCUGGCCGUGUGCAGGAGGCUUUCGAUGCGUCAAGUUCGGGUGUGACGGCGAGAGUUUCAGUGGUCAGCUGGCAAGUAGUGUCCGCAUGGGUCAGCGUACCGAUCUCUGCCACCCCAAGAGAAAAAUAAAAAACAAAUGUCAGGACGUAGUUGAUCACAAUGGACCCUGGAGCUUAAAAUUAGCGUGUACUAUUUUUAGGAAGUCGGCCGAGUAAUAUAUUUUUAAUAAUGA